GUAGGCAACCUGCCCCUUAGCCUGGGAUAACUACCGGAAACGGUAGCUAAUACCGGAUAAUUUCUUUGUUCUCCUGAAGAGAGAAUGAAAGACGGAGCAAUCUGUCACUGAGGGAUGGGCCUGCGGCGCAUUAGCUAGUUGGUGAGGUAACGGCUCACCAAGGCGACGAUGCGUAGCCGACCUGAGAGGGUGAACGGCCACACUGGGACUGAGACACGGCCCAGACUCCUACGGGAGGCAGCAGUAGGGAAUCUUCCGCAAUGGGCGAAAGCCUGACGGAGCAAUGCCGCGUGAGUGAUGAAGGUUUUCGGAUCGUAAAGCUCUGUUGCCA
rnacentral:rRNA from 1 species